GACGAACGCUGGCGGCGUGCUUAACACAUGCAAGUCGAACGGUAAGGCUCCAGCUUGCUGGGGUACACGAGUGGCGAACGGGUGAGUAACACGUGGGUGACCUGCCCUGCACUUCGGGAUAAGCCUGGGAAACUGGGUCUAAUACCGGAUAGGACCAUGGUGUGGAUACUGUGGUGGAAAGAUUUUUCGGGGUGGGAUGGGCCCGCGGCCUAUCAGCUUGUUGGUGGGGUAGUGGCCUACCAAGGCGCCGACGGGUAGCCGGCCUGAGAGGGUGGACGGCCACAUUGGGACUGAGACACGGCCCAGACUCCUACGGGAGGCAGCAGUGGGGAAUAUUGCACAAUGGGCGGAAGCCUGAUGCAGCGACGCCGCGUGGGGGAUGACGGCCUUCGGGUUGUAAACUGCUUUCGCCAUUGACGAAGCGUUUGUGACGGUAGAUGGUGAAGAAGCACCGGCUAACUACGUG
rnacentral:rRNA from 1 species